rnacentral:rRNA from 1 species
GCGAAGGCACCCUCUGGGAUAACACUGACGGUCAUGCAGAAAGGGUGGGGAGCAAACAGGAUAAGAUACCCUGGUAGUCCACGCCUAAACGAUGUCAACUAGCUGUUGGGUUCUUCGGACCUUGGUAGCGCAGCUAACGCGUGAAGUUGACCGCCUGGGGAGUACGGUCGCAAGAUUAAAACUCAAAGGAAUUGACGGGGACCCGCACAAGCGGUGGAUGAUGUGGAUUAAUUCGAUGCAGCGCGAAAAACCUUACCUACCCUUGACAUGUCUGGAAUGCCGAAGAGAUUUGGCAGUGCUCGCAAGAGAACCGGAACACAGGUGCUGCAUGGCUGUCGUCAGCUCGUGUCGUGAGAUGUUGGGUUAAGUCCCGCAACGAGCGCAACCCUUGUCAUUAGUUGCUACGAAAGGGCACUCUAAUGAGACUGCCGGUGACAAACCGGAGGAAGGUGGGGAUGACGUCAAGUCCUCAUGGCCCUUAUGGGUAGGGCUUCACACGUCAUACAAUGGUCGGGACAGAGGGUCGCCAACCCGCGAGGGGGAGCUAAUCCCAGAAACCCGAUCGUAGUCCGGAUCGCAGUCUGCAACUCGACUGCGUGAAGUCGGAAUCGCUAGUAAUCGCGGAUCAGCAUGUCGCGGUGAAUACGUUCCCGGGUCUUGUACACACCGCCCGUCACACCAUGGGAGUGGGUUUUACCAGAAGUAGUUAGCCUAACCGCAAGGAGGGCGAUUACCACGGUAGGAUUCAUGACUGGGGUGAAGUCGUAACAAGGUAGCCGU